rnacentral:rRNA from 1 species
CUACGUAGGUGACAAGCGUUAUCCGGAUUUACUGGGCGUAAAGGGCGUGUAGGCGGUCUUGCAAGUCAGAAGUGAAAUUCCUGAGCUCAACUCGGGCGCUGCUUCUGAAACUGCAGGACUUGAGUGCUGGAGGGGAUAGCGGAAUUCCUAGUGGAGCGGUAAAAUGCGCAGAUAUACGGAGGAACACCAGUGGCGAAGGCGGAUUGCUGGACAGUAACUGACGCUGAGGCGCGAAAGCGUGGGGAGCAAACAGGAUUAGAUACCCUGGUAGUCCACGCCGUAAACGAUGGAUACUAGGUGUGGGGGGUCUGACCCCCUCCGUGCCGCAGCUAACGCAAUAAGUAUCCCACCUGGGGAGUACGAUCGCAAGGUUGAAACUCAAAUGAAUUGGCGGGG